CCUACGGGGAGCAGCAGUCGAGAAUCAUUCACAAUGGGGGAAACCCUGAUGGUGCGACGCCGCGUGGGGGAAUGAAGGUCUUCGGAUUGUAAACCCCUGUCAUGUGGGAGCAAAUUAAAAAGAUAGUACCACAAGAGGAAGAGACGGCUAACUCUGUGCCAGCAGCCGCGGUAAUACAGAGGUCUUAAGCGUUGUUCGGAAUCACUGGGCGUAAAGCGUGCGUAGGCUGUUUCGUAAGUCGUGUGUGAAAGGCGCGGGCUCAACCCGCGGACGGCACCUGAUACUGCGAGACUAGAGUAAUGGAGGGGGAACCGGAAUUCUCGGUGUAGCAGUGAAAUGCGGAGAUAUCGAGAGGAACACUCGUGGCGAAGGCGGGUUCCUGGACAUUAACUGACGCUGAGGCACGAAGGCCAGGGGAGCGAAAGGGAUUAGAUACCCGAGUAGUC
rnacentral:rRNA from 1 species